AUCAGCUCAACAAAGACUACUGUGUCUUUGCUUCUUCACUCCACAGAGAGGUAGAAAGAGAGAGCAAAGGGAAUAUCGAAGAAAGUGGUGGUUGAGGGUUUGAUUAGAUACGCGGCAAGGAUUGAUUUCUGUGAUUUCCAUCUCAAAUCAAUAUUCCAUCUCUAACCUGCAUUUGAUCAGUCGGCACGAGGUUAGCCACUUGUCACUCUGAAAUCUGCUCGACUCUUUCCCGACUUACCAUGUCCGAAGCAGAUAACCUGAGCAAAUUCCAUUAUCUCUAACCCAAAAUUGUAACAACCCAAACGCUCAAAACACCCGAUUCCUCAAUUUCAUUUCUUCUGCCGAGUAUGAAAAAGAUCAGAGGUUUCAAGCUCGGAAAACGACUCUGUCGGGUCACCCGAUGGUUCUUCCUCAGAAAAUCCACCACCCCAAAACGGAUACCACCGGUUUUGCCCGCCUUCAUCUCCGCCAUGCAAGUACAAGUCGCUUCGCGCAAAGCUACUCACUUGAGGGAAUUGUGGGCUAUAUGUGGUUGCUGCAUCUGCAACUCAAUCAGCUGCAACUGUAGUACAGGCUGGCACAAAAAGCUUACCUCUAAGCGACCAGCGGCUCAUUUUUUAGAAGCAAAAUGUCAGAGGUACUAGGAAUUGGUUAUAGGGUCGCCCCAAAAAAAGGAAGGCUUACUUUUGUGCUCCUCUUAUGAAGCCUUGCAGGUGCUUUUUGACGAGAGGGUCAUCUUGGCUCAUCAAUCAGGAUUAGAAGCUUCCCAACCUGCUCUAACUCAAUAUCGGGUGCUUGGUCCUACGAUGAAUGAAUGCUCAUGGAUUGAUUACAACCACUCACUAGCCGAAAGCAUCAGGUAUAAAUUCCUAAAUUUAAAUGUGGUAAAUACCCCAAAUCCAAUGCAUUGCCGUGAAACUGAGUUCAGACCCCUUAGUUUUUACAUGAUUGAGUCAAAGAUGUCUACUUUUUUACAUUUGGUUGCAUAGCAUGAUACUGCAAUUACAAUUUUGCUGCUGCAUGUUUCGUUGAUUCAAUAUACCCAGUUGACAAUGGGAUGGAAUUUGAAUAUGGUUGUGGCAUCUUUUUAUUGUCUAUAUGAAGAACUAGAAACUGAAGGAUCGGGAUGAUUUCAUGAGCUUGGUUGUAAGUUUUUGUUUUAUUUGAAAAGGCAGAUACUUUUAAUCUUAUUCCAGUGAGUUGUUGAUUGGUGGAACUGAAUUGGCUCAGUCUCAAUUGAUGCUUGGAUAUGGUGUUAGGUGUUGUAAUGACUAGCCAAGGAUUAAAGCUGAAAGUUCUCUUCCUAUGUAAUGUCAAGGUCUGCGUGUUACCAAGUUUAAAUGAAUGCUGACUUGCUGAGCUUUUAAAUUUGAACAGUGAUUGGUUUGGUUAGAAUGCAGUUCAUUAUCAACUUCUAUUUUUAGCUGACAGUUAUGAUGUAAUGUUUAUGUUUGUUUGUUCUCCCCCCUCUCAUUUCACGAGCUUUGAUGGAAAGAAGUUGUUUGCUUAGGUGUUGAAUAUCAAUUGGUUUCAGGAGGCAACCAAGUGGGAACAACUAGGUUGAAGAACUAGCUGCGGCUCUAGCAGUAAGCAAGGGUCAUCCUGUACAAAAUGAUAUCAAGCGGAUGCUGAUUAGCUUUUGGAAUCAGAAAGGAAGUUUCAUUGAUAUUGGUAUAAGCUAUCCCAAUUUCAUGUGUGGUAGACAUAAAGGUUUCGAAAUCAUGGUAUCAUUUAUAGUUCUGCUUCGUGAGUGAAAAGUUGUAGCUUAAAAAGAUAAAUGCAGAAGAUUAGAUGCUUUUAGUAACUACCUGUCGGCAGAGUGAAUGUAUAGGCUGGGCUUUCACACAGUUAGUUAAUGCCAUAUUUGCAGAAAGUGUUAAUUUUUGGAUGGCUGAGGAAAGCUUUAUGGAUCGCCUAGGCACCUAUAUGCAUGAAUCAUGCCCCAAGAUUGACAAAGAUUGCUGGCAAGCAAACUGUAAUGAACCAUUUCCAGAUUCUUUGGUGUUUGUAGUCCAUGGAUCAGAUGAGUCCACUCCGGUUGAAGAUGCAUUUGAGUUUGGCAAGAUCAUACCGGACCACUAAAUACAUAUUAUACAAAGAGCUAAUCAUUGUUACACGUCGAAUCAAGCGAAGUUGGACACAGUUGGUGGUGGACUUCAUAAAGGGAGCUCUGCAGCAAAACAAGGCUUUUUCCAACUAGCUAGUACAAGUGCACAGGAGAAUGUCUUCCAAAAUCACAUCAAGUGCAUGCCAAGCAAGAUUGAAAACUGAAGGACCAUCUUUAGAACAUUGUCAGUAGAAGAUCAAUAAAGCUGUGCAUAUAUUUUUGCUUCCUACAUGACAACAUUUUUUGGAUAAGACACUGAUUUAUAUGAAGCCGUGAAGACCUUUUUUGCUCCCUACAUAGCGAUCUUUUGUGAUGAAGUGAUAUCCACCAUUAUUUCGAUAAUAUAAUGUUUUGUAGAAAGACUGCAUACAAAAUGCAUAUCCUUGAACUAGAUUCAUACAAUGUAAACUAAGUUCUAAAACAAUUUGUUUAACGCAUAUUUUUCGUUUCAUGUAAACACAUCUUAGUUAUCUUUGUCAACCAAAUACUUAAAAUCGAACAUAAAGAGAUUAAAGUAGAAAAUCUGCCCCACGACAACGCGCGGGUUCUCAUGCUAGUUAUACUAUAUAUUAAAGUUGGGUUUCCGGUUACUGUUACUAAGCCGUUUUGGUAUCAGCUCGAGCCGAGCUGGUUUGUUGAAAUUAUGUUUCCGU